GUGGGCACUGAAAUAUUCCUAAGCUGUUCUCAGUGUAUAAAUAGUCAAGUUUACUCAAGACUCAUUUCACAAUCACAGCGUUCACAGUCCACUCGACAAACACAGGAGUGAAAAUGAGAGAAACUUGUGAGUGUUUGUGCGUCUGAGUGUUUAUUUCAGGAACAUAAGGAGAGAUGAAUGGCAGCUGAGAUGGAUCAAAGAGAGCAGAGGGAGUGGACGUUGAUCACAAAAGGAAUGCAGGAUGUCAGAUCAGGUUCCUGUAAUGUCACAGAUGAAAAGAGAGAGAUACUGUUACCAGACCAGAGGGCGAGAGAGAAAAGAAGAGACGUUUUGAGGCGUUUGAAACCUUCAUAAUGAGGCUGGAGACAGUAACCUGUGAGGUCACACCACCAUGUAACAGGAUCCUCCCAGAGCUCGGGCUGAUUUGGAGAACAAUGCAGGAGGUGUAACACGUCCAUGUUGUUUUUUAAACAGCCUCAGUAAACUACGAUAUGAUCUUUGUUGCCGAAAACCAACUCAGAUGGACUCACUUACAGGUGAAACUCUCAGAGAGGAAUCAGUUUCAGACAAGGAAGGAAAACAACAACCUGAGAGGAGAAGAAAGAGGAACCACGCUGGCAGAAAUUCAGACUGAAAAUUAAAGUUUGUGCUAUUUUCAUAGUGUUUAAUAUGUGUCAUUUUUUCCUUUCAAACUAUAUGUGAUCUCAUAUG